GAUGAACGCUAGCGGCAGGCCUAACACAUGCAAGUCGAGGGAGAAGCCCUUUCGGGGGCAGAAACCGGCUCACGGGUGCGUAACGCGUAUGCAACCUACCUAUCACCGUGUGAUAGCCCGAUGAAAUUUGGAUUAAUACCCCAUAAUAGUAUUGGAUAUCAUCAUUUGAUAAUUAAAACUGCGGUGGUGAAAUAUGGUCAUGCGUCCUACUAGCUAGGUGGAGUGGUAACGUCACCCCAAUGCUACGAUAGGUAGGGGUCCUGAGAGGGAGGUCCCCCACAAUGGUACUGAGACAGAGACCAGACUCGUACGGGAGGCAGCAGUGAGGUAUACUGGGCAAUGGUCGGAAGCCUGAACCAGCCAUGCCGCGUGCAGGAAGAAUGCCUUAUGGGUUGUAAACUGCUUUUAUAUGGGAAGAAUAAGGUGUACGUGUACAUUGAUGACGGUACCAUAUGAAUAAGCAUCGGCUAACUCCGUG
rnacentral:rRNA from 1 species